UGCGUAGGCGGUCUUUCAAGCCAGAAGUGAAAGGCUACGGCUCAACCGUAGUAAGCUUUUGGAACUGUAGGACUUGAGUGCAGGAGAGGAGAGUAGAAUUCCUAGUGUAGCGGUGAAAUGCGUAGAUAUUAGGAGGAAUACCAGUAGCGAAGGCGGCUCUCUGGACUGUAACUGACGCUGAGGCACGAAAGCAUGGGGAGCAAACA
rnacentral:rRNA from 1 species